UAUGUAUAUAUCGGGAAAGCUAACUGAUACGUUUUAUUACAGUGGGUGCGAUCUGUCACAUUGAAGAACUUUGAAGAACUACUUGCAAAAAAAUAUCCCAGGUGGGAAUUAUUCCACCCACGCCCAGAGAAUUGAGCAGUAUCUCCAAAUACUGAGUUGAGCAGUAUCUCCAAAUGUGACUGAUGUAUACUACCCCAUUGUCUGCUAUGAAAACAGCAUAAUGUUAAACCAUCGGCAGCACCUUGGAACGCAGUGUUGAAUAGUUAUGUAGGUUGCUCUAUAGUCUAGUCUGCUCUGAAACCAGCAGGAAAAAAACAAUUCAUCAACUUAGGCAUAGCUUUCCAUUCCUCCCUUGCCCAAAUAUUUCAUUCAUUAUUCAACAGCAGUUUCUUACAUUUUGCUCCUAGAAGUGGAACCAUGUUCGCUUGUCUAAACCCUUUGAAGUAUAAUAGAUUGUGUUCUUUUGUUGGACUUGGGGCACAAACUGUAGGCCAGAUAUUGCUCUGUAUACUUUG